UAGACACGCGCCACGCGUCCUGUGUGAGGUGAAGCCAUCACCGCUCAUCCCCUUCUUAUCUUCAUUCGUCUGCAUCUAGCUGCAUGCUCAGAUGCAUAUCUCAAUCCAAGCGUUGACCUUGUCCAUGACGAGUAGCACCCCAUGGCCGGUGGCCAGUACAGCGGCCUGCGAGUAUGCACUAGCGGCUGAUUUUGUUGAUGCUGGAAGCCGGCCACUCGGGUGCUGCGUGUCGGCCGCGCACGGCUGCCGGGCUGCACCGCCCGCGUCUGCUAGGCACGCCGCCGUUGAAGCCUGCCGUCGCUCGUCGUUCCACGUCAGGACCAUUCGGGAGGAUUAAUCUGUGGGCUUCUCCCACAUGCCAUUCCUGGUGGAGUGGGGCGAAGAUGGCGAAGUAUACGCUGUGUUUUGGAUCUGCUGGGGGCACUGACCAGACAAUGGAAAAUCCUCUGUUCCGAGGCCCAGGAUGCUCUUCUUCUCCGGUGCUUAAGACUCUUGGAUCAUCGAAGAGGGUAGUUGCUUAGGAUCACCCGGAGCCAAUGAGUAGUUGGGGCUGACUGGAAAUAGGAUACCUAAUUCUUAGCUUUGAUCCUUUCUGUUAUCCUAUUCUAGAUCGGUUCCUUUGCUCUAGAAUAAAAGACUCCUUCGGUGAAUGGUGAUACGCAAUGAAUAACUUCAACGUAUGCAAGUGAAUGAAAGUUUAGGUGAAA